UCUGUUCUCAAGACCUUGCCAUGAAUUAAUUGCUCCUUGUUUUCUCAUUUUACAGAUGCUGAGGCUGAGACUCGGAGAGUUCUAAAUAGGAUUCCUGAAGUGUCAGAGAGGCAAGGCUUUACCAGGUACUGAGUAAGGAAGUCAUUCCCGACUCCACCACCCACCGCUCUGCUUUACCUUUCACCUGGAGGCAACCAUGAAGAAAAAGGACUUAGAAGAAAUCAGAGAAAGGGUUGGAUGCAGAGGAAAUGGUUCUGUCGCUGAAUAAUGAACACGUUUGGAUAUAGAACACCGCUGAAA